rnacentral:rRNA from 1 species
UAGGGAAUAUUGCACAAUGGGCGCAAGCCUGAUGCAGCAACGCCGCGUGCGCGACGAAGGCCUUCGGGUCGUAAAGCGCUUUUCGGGGAGAUGAGUACGGACAGUAUCCCCGGAAGAAGGAUCGGCUAACUACGUGCCAGCAGCCGCGGUAAAACGUAGGAUCCGAGCGUUAUCCGAAUUCACUGGGCGUAAAGCGCAUGCAGGCGGCCGCACAAGUUGGAUGUGAAAUCUCCCGGCUCAACUGGGAGGGGACGUUCAAAACUGUGCGGCUCGAGGGCGGUAGAGGAAGGUAGAAUUCCCGGUGUAGUGGUGAAAUGCGUAGAUAUCGGGAGGAAUACCCGUGGCGAAGGCGACCUUCUGGACCGUUUCUGACGCUCAGAUGCGAAAGCUAGGGGAGCGAACGGG